UACGAAGGUUGCUAGCGUUGUUCGGAAUCACUGGGCUUAAAGCGCAUGUAGGCGGCCUAUCAAGUGCCUUGUGAAAUCCCACGGCUCAACCGUGGAAUUGCUUGGCAUACUGUUAGGCUUGAGGCAGGUAGGGGCGCGUGGAACUCUUGGUGGAGCGGUGGAAUGCGUAGAUAUCAAGAGGAACGCCGGUGGCGAAAGCGGCGCGCUGGGCCUGUCCUGACGCUGAGAUGCGAAAGCCAGGGGAGCAAACGGG
rnacentral:rRNA from 1 species